rnacentral:rRNA from 1 species
GAUGAACGCUGGCGGCGUGCCUAAUACAUGCAAGUCGAGCGAACAAGCGUGGUACUUGCACCUUCUGGAUUAGCAGCGGACGGGUGAGUAACGCGUAGGGAACCUGCCUUUAAGCGUGGGAUAACAUCGGGAAACCGAAGCUAAUACCGGAUAAUAAUUUUAACCACAAGGUUUGAUAGUGAAAGAUGCCUUUGCUUUCCUUAAUGAAUGUACCUGCGGCGUAUUACUUAGUUGGUAAGGAAAAGGCUUACCAAGGCAAUGAUACUGAGCCGACCUGGAAGGGUGGUCGGCCAAAAUGGGACUGGGAAAAGGCCCAAACUCCUAAGGGGAGCAGCAGGAGGGAAACUUCGGCAAUGGACGAAAGUCUGAACGAGCAACGCCGCGGGGGGGGAGAAGGGUUUCGGAUCGGAAAAAUCGGUUGGUAGGGAAGAAAGUUGGUGGGAGUGGAAAGCGCAUGAAGUGACGGUAACUACUCAGAAAGCGACGGCUAACUACGUG